UUCCUUUCCUUAGAAAAAAAACGAACGCAU
rnacentral:piRNA from 1 species